GGAAUUGUUCGCAAUGGGCGCAAGCCUGACGACGCAACGCCGCGUGGAGGAUGAAGAUCUUCGGGUCGUAAACUCCUUUCGACCGAGAUGAAUGUCUGCCGACCCAAUACGUCGGCAGGGUGACAGUAUCGAGGGAAGAAGCCCCGGCUCACUCCGUGCCAGCAGCCGCGGUAAUACGGGGGGGGCGAGCGUUGUUCGGAAUUACUGAGCGUAAAGGGUUCGUAGGUGGCCUUCUCAGUCGGAUGUGAAAUCCCUCGGCUCAACUGAGGAACUGCAUCUGAUACUGGAAGGCUCGAGUGCAGGAGAGGAACGCGGAAUUCCAGGUGUAGCGGUGAAAUGCGUAGAUAUCUGGAGGAACACCGGUGGCGAAGGCGGCGUUCUGGACUGCAACUGACACUGAGGAACGAAAGCCAGGGGAGCAAAC
rnacentral:rRNA from 1 species